AACGCUGGCGGCAUGCCUAACACAUGCAAGUCGAACGGAAACGAUGGGAGCUUGCUCCCAGGCGUCGAGUGGCGGACGGGUGAGUAAUACUUAGGAAUCUGCCCAUUAGUGGGGGACAACUAGAAGAAAUUCUAGCUAAUACCGCAUACGCCCUACGGGGGAAAGCGGAGGACCUUUCGGGGCUUCGCGCUAAUGGAUGAGCCUAAGUCGGAUUAGCUUGUUGGUGAGGUAAUGGCUCACCAAGGCGACGAUCCGUAGCUGGUCUGAGAGGACGAUCAGCCACACUGGGACUGAGACACGGCCCAGACUCCUACGGGAGGCAGCAGUGGGGAAU
rnacentral:rRNA from 1 species